GAUGAACGCUGGCGGCGUGCCUAAUACAUGCAAGUCGAGCGAACAGACGAGGAGCUUGCUCCUCUGACGUUAGCGGCGGACGGGUGAGUAACACGUGGAUAACCUACCUAUAAGACUGGGAUAACUUCGGGAAACCGGAGCUAAUACCGGAUAAUAUAUUGAACCGCAUGGUUCAAUAGUGAAAGACGGUUUUGCUGUCACUUAUAGAUGGAUCCGCGCCGCAUUAGCUAGUUGGUAAGGUAACGGCUUACCAAGGCAACGAUGAGUAGCCGACCUGAGAGGGUGAUCGGCCACACUGGAACUGAGACACGGUCCAGACUCCUACGGGAGGCAGCAGUAGGGAAUCUUCCGCAAAGGGCGAAAGCCUGACGGAGCAACGCCGCGUGAGUGAUGAAGGUCUUCGGAUCGUAAAACUCUGUUAUUAGGGAAGAACAAAUGUGUAAGUAACUAUGCACGUCUUGACGGUACCUAAUCAGAAAGCCACGGCUAACUACGUG
rnacentral:rRNA from 1 species